CCCGCUGAACUUAAGCAUAUCAGUAAGCGGAGGAAAAGAAACUAACAAGGAUUCCCCUAGUAGCGGCGAGCGAAGAGGGAGUAGCCCAUAACCGAAUCCCAUGUCGUUAAGGCAUUGGGAAAUGUGGUGUUAGGGUGGUUUCCUGCUGUGUCUCUGAUGGUUCAAAGUCCGCGUGAUUGUGGCUCAUGGCCCAAGGAGGGUGUAAGGCCCGUGUGGACUGUCGGAGCAUGGCGCGAGGCUACUCAAGAGUCGGGUUGUUUGGGAAUGCAGCCCUAAUAGGGUGGUAAACUCCAUCCAAGGCUACAUAUAACACGAGUCCGAUAGCGAACAAGUACCGUGAGGGAAAGUUGAAAAGGACUUUGAAGAGAGAGUUCAAUAGUGCGUGAAACCGCUCAGAGGUAAACGGGUGGAGCUGAAGUUGGCGUAGUGAUUGAUGUCUACUGACGUGCAUUUGCCGUGUUUCAGAUUCGUUGAGGACUGUACGCGGUGGGUGAGCGUGUUGGUUGGCUGUUUUCAUUAUGCUGUCACCACGAUCGGCGAUGUGUGUGGUCUAUUGUCAGGUGGAAGGUAGCGUUCGCCCUUCGGGGUGUUCGUGUUAUAGACCUUGGCAUGGACUGAUGCGUUGCUGUGCAUGGCGAGGCAGGUCCGACUCUAAGUUGGGCGCACAUAGGUCUUUGCUUUGAUGCCUUUGGCGGGAUACUCUUUUGGAGUGUCUUGCUGAAUGGUGUCGAUGGUGGAGGCCUUCCUGUGUACUGUCUCAAUAAUCUGUGGUGUUUUGUAGGCCGUCCACCUGACCCGUCUUGAAACACGG
rnacentral:rRNA from 1 species